CGUUGUGAGUGGUUGGUGCGUCUCGGUGCCUCCGACUGUCCACCCGGUGCGCUCCAAACCAGCUCCGGCUGAUUUUGGGGGCGCCGUGGGUAGUAGGGUGGUGGUGUGGUGGUGACGUUGCCUGAAGAGCGGUCAGCGGUUGCGUCUGGAGUCUAGAGCGAGAGCGGAGGAACGCGUCGGCAGCAGCUCUCCUCGUUCUUUUACCGCCGCUCGUUGGAGCUCCCACACGAGGACCCCUACCCGUUGGGGGAAGAGCUGUAGAGGCGGCAGCAGCUGCUCCGGAAGGAGCGAUUCAUACUACAGUUCGGCUUGUUACGGUAAGAGCGGCUCCUGUUCGUGAACGGGUACAUGCUACUCAACAGGUCGUUCCUUUUACAACUUAUGUAACGACCUCCUCGGUGCGUCUUGAGAUAGUCCCAACGGGUUACCUACGAAGUUUGAGGACCACGUUGUUCAAUGUACCCAACGUAACCUUUCCUGUUCAUACCACUCCUCUACUUCUCGCGGCGAUUUCGACGUCCUCAAUGACGAGUAAUGAUACUCCUACUCCGACGAGGAUGUCCGUGUACACGACAUACACAACAACCACCGCUUUCCAGUAACUAACGUUUGAAUAGACGACGCUUGACGAUGUUUAGACUCGUAGAUUUCUUCGGUCUCUUGACCCGUGAUCAACUCUUUCGUUUUAUGUAGAUGUAACGACCGAAAAAGGAAUGCCACAGGGGACUUAGAUAAGUCGAACAACGACUCGUACGACGACGGUUAUUGUUCCAAAAGAACUACUUGGAGAGGCGAGGGAAAUAGACGCUCAAAAAGGCACUACGGGUUCUCUUCCAAGAAGGCAUACGCCUGAUAUAGAAACCUUUACUUUGACUCCGUUCCUAGAAGAGAUUUCAGGCUCCCACCCUCUGACUCUUACAGCUCCUCUAGCGAAACUUCUAGAGUGUUGACGGAGACCGAAGACCUUUUGUUUUCUCCUAACGACACUAAUGAGUCCCACGACUAGGUCAUCAACACCGGCUCCUACCCUUCCACUUUUGUAAGGGACAGUAGGAUAACGGGUUCCUCUUCGAACAACUGUGGUUACCGCGACCACUACGCAAACAACCUCCGAAGGAGAGAGUCAACCACGUUCCCUUCUCGUAGCUCCUGACGCAUUUCCGGCCAACGAUGCGUCGUUUGCAAUAGUAGGUCGUCAGACCGACGUGAAUGGGACUCUUCGGACUGAAGUUGAUCUGGUUGGUUUAAGCCGCUACCGUACCAACGGUAAUAUACCCCACAAUGAACACCGGCAGAAUAGGUUCAUAUACGCCUUCGCACCAGUCUGGUGCUAUCACGAACUUACGUCACCUUAAGAUACCUGCACAAACAAAACACUCUUCAUACCGUCUCGCACCGAUGUCCGAUUACACCGAUUACCGUACAGACAGUCACUUGGUUCCCGUAAUAAACGGACAGCACCGAUCUUUAUCACGUCACGCUUACAUUCAGCGAGGAACACUGUUUGACGCACAAGUCUGAGCUCUGGUUCUUCGGGGACGACGGACGAUGUUCAUGUCCAAGGUUGAUAUAUAUCAAGCGACACGAUCCAAACAAAGGGAAUACAGUUUGACGCACGAAUUAGAACCGACUGAGGCAAAAUUUAUUGACAACUAAUUUUUCUUAGUUUACACAACAAGCAAGGUAUUUGAUACAAAACAAAACCAACACCCCUCCGUCACUACCCCUUAUCUUUAAACUUCUCUCAA
rnacentral:rRNA from 1 species